rnacentral:rRNA from 1 species
GAGCCCGUUAAUGGGUGAUGGCGUGCCUUUUGUAGAAUGAACCGGCGAGUUACGAUUUGAUGCAAGGUUAAGCAGUAAAUGUGGAGCCGUAGCGAAAGCGAGUCUGAAUAGGGCGUUUAGUAUUUGGUCGUAGACCCGAAACCAGGUGAUCUACCCUUGGUCAGGUUGAAGUUCAGGUAACACUGAAUGGAGGACCGAACCGACUUACGUUGAAAAGUGAGCGGAUGAACUGAGGGUAGCGGAGAAAUUCCAAUCGAACCUGGAGAUAGCUGGUUCUCUCCGAAAUAGCUUUAGGGCUAGCCUCAAGUGAUGAUUAUUGGAGGUAGAGCACUGUUUGGACGAGGGGCCCCUCUCGGGUUACCGAAUUCAGACAAACUCCGAAUGCCAAUUAAUUUAACUUGGGAGUCAGAACAUGGGUGAUAAGGUCCGUGUUCGAAAGGGAAACAGCCCAGACCACCAGCUAAGGUCCCAAAAUAUAUGUUAAGUGGAAAAGGAUGUGGCGUUGCCCAGACAACUAGGAUGUUGGCUUAGAAGCAGCCAUCAUUUAAAGAGUGCGUAAUAGCUCACUAGUCGAGUGACACUGCGCCGAAAAUGUACCGGGGCUAAACAUAUUACCGAAGCUGUGGAUUGUCCUUUGGACAAUGGUAGGAGAGCGUUCUAAGGGCGUUGAAGCAUGAUCGUAAGGACAUGUGGAGCGCUUAGAAGUGAGAAUGCCGGUGUGAGUAGCGAAAGACGGGUGAGAAUCCCGUCCACCGAUUGACUAAGGUUUCCAGAGGAAGGCUCGUCCGCUCUGGGUUAGUCGGGUCCUAAGCUGAGGCCGACAGGCGUAGGCGAUGGAUAACAGGUUGAUAUUCCUGUACCACCUAUAAUCGUUUUAAUCGAUGGGGGGACGCAGUAGGAUAGGCGAAGCGUGCGAUUGGAUUGCACGUCUAAGCAGUAAGGCUGAGUAUUAGGCAAAUCCGGUACUCGUUAAGGCUGAGCUGUGAUGGGGAGAAGACAUUGUGUCUUCGAGUCGUUGAUUUCACACUGCCGAGAAAAGCCUCUAGAUAGAAAAUAGGUGCCCGUACCGCAAACCGACACAGGUAGUCAAGAUGAGAAUUCUAAGGUGAGCGAGCGAACUCUCGUUAAGGAACUCGGCAAAAUGACCCCGUAACUUCGGGAGAAGGGGUGCUCUUUAGGGUUAACGCCCAGAAGAGCCGCAGUGAAUAGGCCCAAGCGACUGUUUAUCAAAAACACAGGUCUCUGCUAAACCGUAAGGUGAUGUAUAGGGGCUGACGCCUGCCCGGUGCUGGAAGGUUAAGAGGAGUGGUUAGCUUCUGCGAAGCUACGAAUCGAAGCCCCAGUAAACGGCGGCCGUAACUAUAACGGUCCUAAGGUAGCGAAAUUCCUUGUCGGGUAAGUUCCGACCCGCACGAAAGGCGUAACGAUUUGGGCACUGUCUCAACGAGAGACUCGGUGAAAUCAUAGUACCUGUGAAGAUGCAGGUUACCCGCGACAGGACGGAAAGACCCCGUGGAGCUUUACUGUAGCCUGAUAUUGAAAUUCGGCACAGCUUGUACAGGAUAGGUAGGAGCCUUUGAAACGUGAGCGCUAGCUUACGUGGAGGCGCUGGUGGG